rfam:Citrus clementina cultivar Clemenules unplaced genomic scaffold scaffold_3, whole genome shotgun sequence.
CCGACCUUAGCUCAGUUGGCAGAGCGGAGGACUGUAGUAGUAAUAAGCUGUCAUCCUUAGGUCGCUGGUUCGAAUCCGGCAGGUCGGA